GGCCUCAAAUCAGACAAGAGUACCCGCUGAACUUAAGCAUAUCAAUAAGCGGAGGAAAAGAAACUAACAAGGAUUCCCCUAGUAACGGCGAGUGAAGCGGGAACAGCUCAAAUUUUAAAUCUGGCUGCUUUGUAGUCCGAGUUGUAAUUUGAAGGAGUCUUGCCGCUGGCAAAACGAUGGCACAAGUCCUCUGGAACGGGGCAUCGUAGAGGGUGAGAAUCCCGUCUCUGGUCAUCACGCGCUGGCAUACGGCAGGCAUCCGAAGAGUCGAGUUGUUUGGGAAUGCAGCUCAAAAUGGGUGGUAAAUUCCAUCUAAAGCUAAAUAUUGGCGAGAGACCGAUAGCGAACAAGUACCGUGAGGGAAAGAUGAAAAGCACUUUGGAAAGAGAGUUAAACAGUACGUGAAAUUGUUGAAAGGGAAACGAUUGAAG
rnacentral:rRNA from 1 species